GCUGGAAGUGGAGAGCAGCUGGGGGUCCGAGAGAGAGCACGCGGGCAGUUCCCAGAGACUAGAUUAAACCCAUGCCCAGGUCAGGUGGCCCUCCUGUGCCCCGAGGCUCCUGUGGUUGGCUUGGGGCUCUAAGCAGAUGGGCAGUAGACGGAGGGCAGGGAGCAAGCUUCCAAGGCGAGCGUGUGUGCAUCUGGACUUGAAUGGGUGAUUCCUGCGCUCCCCUCCAAGCCCAAGGCUUUCCCCAGAAAGGAACAGAGACAUCAACAUAUAAGGAGCUCAGAGAUUUAUCUGCAUUAUUUCAUUAACAGAUGAGGAAACCAAGGCUCAGAGAGAUCCUGCGAGCCACAACUACUGAGCCCCCGUGUCACAACUACUGAAGCCCGCACACCUAGAGCCCGUGCUCCGUAACAAAGAGAAGCCAUCCGCAACGAGAAGCCCGCGUACCGCAAU